CUGGGAGAGCCUGCCACGCACGCGGGGGCCGGCGCGGCCCCUCCCCCUGCCGCCACGACCCCAAGGAGGGGGGCCGCGCGGGGGCGGCGCCGCGGGGUCCACGCGGCCGGGGUGGAGGUGUCUCAGGCGGGUGGACUUGGGGAAAUCCCGGCCCUCCCCAUCCCACCCUACCAGCCCGACCCGUGUUGGGCCUUGACUCAACGGGGGUUUGAAGGCGGAGGCAGAAGGAGAUUCGAGAAACCAGUUGGCUCCGCGGAGGCACGUUUAGAGAGAGUUAGCAAAGAUUUUUGGACUGCAUAAAGUCUAUUCAAGGAAACGCAUUUAUUGAGCAUCCCCCUUCCCUGGUUGACAAGACCCCCAGAGGCCAAGACGUGGGCCUGAAUGCCCUGCAAACAGGGUGUGUUCGAGGUGGGGGCCUCCUUUGCAGCUGGCUCUGGAGUGUUAGGACAUGGUCUCAGCAGUUCCCACCCCCAGAAAUUCCCAACUCCAAAUGCUGUAGCUCUGUGCAGGAGGGGAACUCUUUCUUGGAAGAUAGAUGAUAACAGCUGCCCAACCCCAAGAUACUGUCUGUCCGUCUUCCCCGGCUCCAUGUUUCUCUAGAGGAUUUGUUUUUCUCUGCUUAUGUAAUUAUUAUUGUCUGCCUCUUCUCAUUAGAGUGUAAGUUCCAUGCCUGAAAACUUCAUUGAGCUCACUCUUACAUUCCCUAGUACCUAGAACACAAUAUCUGGCACAUAGUAGGAGCUCAAUAAACAUAAU